rnacentral:rRNA from 1 species
CGUAGGGUGCGAGCGUUAAUCGGAAUUACUGGGCGUAAAGCGUGCGCAGGCGGUUUAGUAAGACAGGCGUGAAAUCCCCGGGCUCAACCUGGGAACUGCGCUUGUGACUGCUAAGCUAGAGUACGGCAGAGGGGGUGGAAUUCCACGUGUAGCAGUGAAAUGCGUAGAGAUGUGGAGGAACACCAAUGGCGAAGGCAGCCCCCUGGGUCGAUACUGACGCUCAUGCACGAAAGCGUGGGUAGCAAACAGGAUUAGAUACCCUGGUAGUCCACGCCCUAAACGAUGUCAACUAGGUGUUGGGUGGGUAAAACCAUUUAGUACCGGAGCUAACGCGUGAAGUUGACCGCCUGGGGAGUACGGCCGCAAGGUUA